UACGUAGGGACCGAGCGUUGUCCGGAAUCAUUGGGCGUAAAGAGCGUGUAGGCGGCUAUUUAACUCCUGCGUGAAAUCCUGCGGCUCAACCGCAGACGGUCGUGGGAAACUGGAUGGCUAGAGUGCGGGAGAGGAGAGUGGAAUUCCCGGUGUAGCGGUGAAAUGCGCAGAUAUCGGGAAGAACACCCGUGGCGAAGGCGGCUCUCUGGGACGGUACUGACGCUGAGACGCGAAAGCGUGGGGAGCGAACAGG
rnacentral:rRNA from 1 species